rnacentral:rRNA from 1 species
CGGGACGGGUGAGUAAUGUCUAGGGAAACUGCCGAUGGAGGGGGAUAACUACUGGAAACGGUAGCUAAUACCGCAUAACGUCGCAAGACCAAAGAGGGGGACCUUAGGGCCUCCUGCCAUCGGAUGUGCCCAGAUGGGAUUAGCUAGUAGGUGGGGUAAAGGCUCACCUAGGCGACGAUCCCUAGCUGGUCUGAGAGGAUGACCAGCCACACUGGAACUGAGACACGGUCCAG